rnacentral:rRNA from 1 species
GAAUAUUGGACAAUGGGGGAAACCCUGAUCCAGCCAUGCCGCGUGUGUGAAGAAGGUCUUCGGAUUGUAAAGCACUUUAAGCUGGGAGGAAGGGCAGUAAGCGAAUACCUUGCUGGCUUGACGUUCCCUACAGAAUAAACCCCGGCUACCUCCGUGCCCGCCGCCGCUGUAAUACAGCGGGUGCAAGCGGUAAUCGGAAUUACUGGGCGUAAAGCGCGCGUAGGUGGUUCGUUAAGGUGGAUGUGAAAGCCCCGGGCUCAACCUGGGAACUGCAUCCAACACUGGCGAGCUAGAGUAGGGCAGAGGGUGGUGGAAUUUCCUGUGUAGCGGUGAAAUGCGUAGAUAUAGGAAGGAACACCAGUGGCGAAGGCGACCACCUGGGCUCAUACUGACACUGAGGUGCGAAAGCGUGGGGAGCAAACAG